rnacentral:rRNA from 1 species
GUCUAUUGCCACUCCACUCUGAAAGCACGAGAUCUUGUCUGAUCUCAGAAGCUAAGCAGGGUCGGGUCUGGCUAGUACUUGGAUGGGAGAAAGAUGGAAAAUUAGGCC